UACGAAGGGGGCUAGCGUUGCUCGGAAUCACUGGGCGUAAAGCGCACGUAGGCGGAUUGCUAAGUCAGGGGUGAAAUCCUGGAGCUCAACUCCAGAACUGCCUUUGAUACUGGCAACCUUGAGUCCGGGAGAGGUGAGUGGAACUGCGAGUGUAGAGGUGAAAUUCGUAGAUAUUCGCAAGAACACCAGUGGCGAAGGCGGCUCACUGGCCCGAUACUGACGCUGAGGAGCGAAAGCGUGGGGAGCGAACAGG
rnacentral:rRNA from 1 species